rnacentral:tRNA from 1 species
ACCUGGCUGGCUCAGUUGGUAGAGCACGUGACUCUCGAUCUCAAGGUCUUGAGUUCAAGCCCCACGUUGGGCA